UCCCAGAGCUGGGGAGAGAACCCAGGAGUCCUGGCUCCCAGUCCCCCCUGCUCUAACCCACUCGAUCCAACUCCUCUCCCAGAGCUGGGGAGAGAACCCAGGAGUCCUGGCUCCCAGCCCCCAUUCUCUAACCCACUCGAUCCAACUCCUCUCCCAGAGCUGGGGAGAGAACCCAGGAGUCCUGGCUCCCAGCCCCCAUUCUCUAACCCACUCGAUCCAACUCCUCUCCCAGAGCUGGGGAGAGAACCCAGGAGUCCUGGCUCCCAGCCCCCGCUCUCUAACCCACUCGAUCCAACUCCUCUCCCAGAGCUGGGGAGAGAACCCAGGAGUCCUGGCUCCCAGUCCCCCCUGCUCUAACCCACAAGACCCCAUUUCCCUCCCAGAGCCAGGGAUAAAACCCAUUUCCCUCCAUGCCAUGUCCUGCGGCAGUGCUGGGGCAGAGCUUCCGCCCUUGUUAGGUUUGUUUUUCCUGGCAUUAAGUUCAGGUGAAGUUUAACCCUCUCAGUUUGGUGGGGCCAGAGCUCAGAGAGUUUCCCCCCACCCUGCGGUGACUUGUGAGAUCUCCCAGAAUGCACCGGUGCUGGGAGAGCUGCUCUCUCCAUCAAUGAGACGCGGAGGAAGAUCAAAUUAAAACAUCACCCACAUGGGCCUUUUUGGAGAGUGGAGGAGGAAGGGCCAAUGUUUGCAAACAGAACAAUGGGCCAGAUAAUUUCAAGCAGCCCCAGUGCUGCCCCCCUAAGCCAAGAAGCUCACCUUGCAGGGGCCAUUAGGGUCACCCCUGGACCCAGCGCACAGCACGUCAUCUUGGAUCCAGUGGCUCCAUUCCCCAAAGUGUUCUCUGCAGGUCGACACAGCGACGAGAGGAACCUGCAGCUCCUGAAGUGUCCGGGGUGGCUGAAGUGCACCUGGAAUGAGAGAGUCGGGGAUGGAGCCUCUGGGAGGCCGAGGGAGCGGGAAAGGACCGGGACGUGCUGGGAAAAAUCUCUCCUAGUGUAACAUGGUAGCUGGGCAUCACCUGUGGAGGCAACAGAAAUGUUGGGGAGACAUUACAGCGUUGGGGCCAUUGGGACAGGAGCAGCAUUAGGAUCUGAAGGAAAGCGGGAAGAUGGAAGGUGCAGAACUGCUAACUGUGGUAUGUAACUGUGACCAACUCUCCAAUUUGUCAAGAUCCUUUUGACUUCUGAUCCUGGACUCUAAUUAAUCACUACGCUUGGAAGGAUCAGAUUGUUACCGGUAAACGUCAAUUUCACUGCAUCCACCCAAACCGAUGAACAAAUAUUUCCAUUGGCAAUCAUCAAAAUUUACCAAUAGGAAACAUAAGAAAAAUGUAUCAGAGGGGUAGCCGUGUUAGUCUGGAUUUGUGAAAAGCAGCAAAGAGUCCUGUGGCACCUUAUAGACUCACAGACGUCCUGGAGCAUGAGCUUUCGUGGGUGAAUACCCGCCUCUCUGAGCUGCGGUUUCAGGCUCUCUGCAGACUCAGCCAGACAUUGCUGCUCUGAUUGCCCUAAAAGGGGAAGAAGGAGCAGGAUACUGGUCAAGCGACCAGUGAACUGGAGCAGUUUCAGACCCAAUGGCAGUGAAAAGCCUGAAAAAGGAGAUGCUCCUGGAGCCCUCUACAGCUGUCAGCUUCAGAACAACCUGUCCUCUGAUUGCUCCUCUGGUCAGCUGACAGCCAGGCUUACUGAACUUGUUAACCCUUUACAGUCAAAGAUAUAUAAAGUACUUCUGUGCUAUUAA